UCGAACGAAGGCCCUAGCUUGCUAGGUGUCCUUAGUGGCGCACGGGUGAGUAACACGUGGGAACAUACCUUAUAGUACGGAAUAACUGCGGGAAACUGUGGCUAAUACCGUAUAUUCCAGUAAUGGGAAAGAUUUAUCGCUAUAAGAUUGGCCCGCGCAAGAUUAGCUUGUUGGUGAGGUAAAAGCUCACCAAGGCUUCGAUCUUUAGCUGGUUUGAGAGGAUGAUCAGCCACACUGGGACUGAGACACGGCCCAGACUCCUACGGGAGGCAGCAGUAGGGAAUAUUGGACAAGGGGGGCAACCCUGAUCCAGCAAUGCAGCGUGAGUGACGAAGGCCUUAGGGUUGUAAAACUCUUUCAUCGGUGAGGAUAAUGACAGUAGCCGAAGAAGAAGGACCGGCUAAUUCCGUGCCAGCAGCCGCGGUAAUACGGAAAGUCCUAGCGUUGUUCGGAAUUACUGGGCGUAAAGCGCAUGUAGGCGGAACAGAAAGUUAGAAGUGAAAUCCCUGGGCUCAACCUAGGAAUUGCUUUUAAAACUUCUGUUCUGGAAUUCAGGAGAGGAAAAUGGAAUUUCCAGUGUAGAGGUGAAAUUCGUAGAUAUUGGAAGGAACACCAGUGGCGAAGGCGAUUUUCUGGACUGAUAUUGACGCUGAGAUGCGAAGGCAUGGGUAGCAAACGGGAUUAGAUACCCCGGUAGUCCAUGCAGUAAACGAUGGGUGCUAGUCGUCGGACUUUUGUUCGGUGUCGUAGCUAACGCGUUAAGCACCCCGCCUGGGGA
rnacentral:rRNA from 1 species